rnacentral:rRNA from 1 species
GAUGAACGCUGGCGGCGUGCCUAAUACAUGCAAGUCGAGCGAACGGACGAGAAGCUUGCUUCUCUGAUGUUAGCGGCGGACGGGUGAGUAACACGUGGAUAACCUACCUAUAAGACUGGGAUAACUUCGGGAAACCGGAGCUAAUACCGGAUAAUAUUUUGAACCGCAUGGUUCAAAAGUGAAAGACGGUCUUGCUGUCACUUAUAGAUGGAUCCGCGCUGCAUUAGCUAGUUGGUAAGGUAACGGCUUACCAAGGCAACGAUGCAUAGCCGACCUGAGAGGGUGAUCGGCCACACUGGAACUGAGACACGGUCCAGACUCCUACGGGAGGCAGCAGUAGGGAAUCUUCCGCAAUGGGCGAAAGCCUGACGGAGCAACGCCGCGUGAGUGAUGAAGGUCUUCGGAUCGUAAAACUCUGUUAUUAGGGAAGAACAUAUGUGUAAGUAACUGUGCACAUCUUGACGGUACCUAAUCAGAAAGCCACGGCUAACUACGUGCCAGCAGCCGCGGUAAUACGUAGGUGGCAAGCGUUAUCCGGAAUUAUUGGGCGUAAAGCGCGCGUAGGCGGUUUUUUAAGUCUGAUGUGAAAGCCCACGGCUCAAUCGUGGAGGGUCAUUGGAAACUGGAAAACUUGAGUGCAGAAGAGGAAAGUGGAAUUCCAUGUGUAGCGGUGAAAUGCGCAGAGAUAUGGAGGAACACCAGUGGCGAAGGCGACUUUCUGGUCUGUAACUGACGCUGAUGUGCGAAAGCGUGGGGAUCAAACAGGAUUAGAUACCCUGGUAGUCCACGCCGUAAACGAUGAGUGCUAAGUGUUAGGGGGUUUCCGCCCCUUAGUGCUGCAGCUAACGCAUUAAGCACUCCGCCUGGGGAGUACGACCGCAAGGUUGAAACUCAAAGGAAUUGACGGGGACCCGCACAAGCGGUGGAGCAUGUGGUUUAAUUCGAAGCAACGCGAAGAACCUUACCAAAUCUUGACAUCCUUUGACAACUCUAGAGAUAGAGCCUUCCCCUUCGGGGGACAAAGUGACAGGUGGUGCAUGGUUGUCGUCAGCUCGUGUCGUGAGAUGUUGGGUUAAGUCCCGCAACGAGCGCAACCCUUAAGCUUAGUUGCCAUCAUUAAGUUGGGCACUCUAAGUUGACUGCCGGUGACAAACCGGAGGAAGGUGGGGAUGACGUCAAAUCAUCAUGCCCCUUAUGAUUUGGGCUACACACGUGCUACAAUGGACAAUACAAAGGGCAGCGAAACCGCGAGGUCAAGCAAAUCCCAUAAAGUUGUUCUCAGUUCGGAUUGUAGUCUGCAACUCGACUACAUGAAGCUGGAAUCGCUAGUAAUCGUAGAUCAGCAUGCUACGGUGAAUACGUUCCCGGGUCU